rnacentral:pre_miRNA from 1 species
UCGGGAUAAAAUAGUGAGAAGCCGACAUGGGGAAGUGAUCGACCCUUGGGAUAAUUAAUUUUUUUUUUUUUACUCCAUAAACUUUUUACCGUGGGUAAAAAGAUUCUUCUUGGGGUAUAAAAAAUCAAAUUUAAAUUUUGCCCAAGGGUUGAUGAUGUAUUUUUCCCAUGAAGGCUGCUCACUAUUUUACCCCGU